UACGGGGGGGGCAAGCGUUGUUCGGAAUUACUGGGCUUAAAGGGCGCGUAGGCGGAUGCUCAAGUCGGUGGUGAAAUCUUUCGGCUCAACCGGAAAACAGCCGCCGAUACUGGGCAUCUCGAGGGAGGUAGGGGUCGAGGGAACUUCCGGUGGAGCGGUGAAAUGCGUAGAUAUCGGAAGGAACGCCGGUGGCGAAAGCGCUCGACUGGACCUCUUCUGACGCUGAGACGCGAAAGCGUGGGGAGCGAACAGG
rnacentral:rRNA from 1 species